UACGUAGGGGGCAAGCGUUAUCCGGAUUUACUGGGUGUAAAGGGAGCGUAGACGGUUAUGCAAGUCAGAAGUGAAAGCCCAAAGCUCAACUUCGGGACUGCUUUUGAAACUGUGUAACUAGAGUGCAGGAGGGGUAAGCGGAAUUCCUAGUGUAGCGGUGAAAUGCGUAGAUAUUAGGAGGAACACCGGCGGCGAAGGCGGCUUACUGGACUGUAACUGACGUUGAGGCUCGAAAGCGUGAGGAGCAAACAGG
rnacentral:rRNA from 1 species